rnacentral:lncRNA from 1 species
CACGAUGAAGGCACACUGUAUAUUUUUAGCAUUGUUUCUUUUUGCAGCAGUACUUGCAACAGGUAUUUUCAAGGAUUUUAUAACUUACACUAUAUUUUCUUUUACAUCUCCUUGUAGAAGAGGUGGUUAAUGGUUUCCUUCCCUUGUCAUUUAAUUUUUUUUAUCCUUUUCUUUCUUUCUUUUUUUUUAUAUCUACGAAGAAAUAUUUAAACAUGACAUGAUUUAAUAGUGAUUAUGUUGAAUUUGUUUUGUUUUAUAACUUGAAAUAUUAUUUGAAUUUUUUUUAUAUUUUUUGGAGCAUGUUACAUUAUCGAUUGGUGUUUUGAAAGUUUCACAUCACUUUAUAAAAGAAAAUAUAUGAUUUUAAUAAGAAUUGAUGAGACCUUGAAAAAAAUGUGUAUCGCCAUAUAUUCAUUUGCCUACUAUCCAAUCGAGAUAAUUAUCUCUGUGCACGAAAACUGCUCUAUAUUAAGUCAAUCAACUUCACCAUUUGAAACUCUUGGUUUAAUAGCUUCCUUGUGAGCAGCAACACUCUAUCAAGGAAAUCAUGGUGGGAUCGUAUCAAUUUGGGAACAUAUACUCAGUAUGCAGGCGCUGUUGCAAUGUUGCUACUAAGAAAUGGAAAAUUUACAAUUGGGAAGCUAAAAUCACGUUGUUUUCAUCUGACCCUCAUUGUCAAUUUCUAGAUAUAAGUCAAGAUAUGAGUCAUACUUAACUGUAUCUGUUAUAUUCUUUAUCUCUAGUUCGAUGGGAUAGAUGCAUUCAUCAUCGUCACCAAAUUGUAAAUUAUUUAGUGAGAGAACAUCAUUUUUAGCGGAAAGCAAAGGGGCACUAUUGGUUCCCAUAUAGGAAUGCCGUCUGUUGAAAAACACAUCCCCAAAACGUAACAAAAAUGUUAUCAAUUAAGAAAUAUAAAAAGAAAAAUAUUAUUAAUUCUUUUUUUCUACUGUUUCUAAUUAGAGACUUUCCGUUUGAAAUUUUCCUAGGAAUUGUUAUUAGUUUACAGUUUGUAAGUUCGUUUGAGGAAAAGACAUGUUUAAAAUAUUUACAUAUUUACUAGUGAAUGACCGAUUGUUCUUAUACAGUAACAAAUAUUCUUUAAACGACUAAAAACUUACCGGUCCUGAUAUUGCAGUAGACUCCAUUAAAGACUCAUAAAGGUGACAGUAUGCAACAUUGCAUUCACGAAUUUAAGGCUUAUUCUAAGCAAUAUCUACUGUGAGCGUCACUAAUGAAGGUAAAUCCGGAAAAAAGCUUCAGACGCAAGAAAUGUAUAACGUGUUGUUUUUAUUUUCAAAUCAAAACCUAUGUUAGGAAAUUUGAUAUCAUUACAUCCCAGCUCCUUUGUUCGAACAGGGGAGAUCUGAGCCAGAUCAUCCCUACCAAACCACCCCAGUUUGAGUUCCUUUAUUAUGCAUGCUUUCCUUUGUUCUGUAACAUUUCGGCGGUAAUGUCAAAUCUACUAUAAAACUUAUUUUUAAUUAUACGGAAAAGACUAUCUAUCAAAAUUCACGCAGAAAACAUACGAACUCAAGACCUUUAGCAUAUCAAACCACGACAUACCACUACACCAGGACGACUGGAUACGAACUAUCAGUAAUUUAAUAUACUUAAAGGAAGAUAUUUUUAUAAGUGGGGCGAGUUGAAAGACCUUUAUUCAGUGGGGUUUAAACCCUUUUCGUUAAUAAGUGAGAUGUUAGACUGAUUGUUCAAUUUGAUUUUACACUUUUUCAAAAGUGGGGCUAGUCGGUAAACAAGAGUGGGGCGAUUUUUUUAUAAAGUGGUAAUAUAGUGUGGGGCGAUUGACCAGUGGGGCGAGUUGACAUUGUUUGAUAUCUACUCAUCAUGUUCGGGGGUCAUAAAGGGUAUACAUCAAAUAGUAAUAUAUAACAUAUAUUAUAAUGGUUGUGUGGUGUUCUAAACUAGCUUUUAUGAAUUGUAAAUGGUUAUCAAAAAACAGCUGGGAUGUAAAAUAGUUAUCCUAUUCGGACUUGGUGUGUCAGUGUUAGAUCCCCCUCUGGCAUCCGGCCAUAUGGGUGAUAUAACACUGACACACCACGUCCUCGUGGGAUAACUAUUAAUGAUAUUCUUUUUGUUAAUGAACUACCUGAAUAAAUAUUAAAUUAGUUGAAUUUGAUUUGUAAAGAUCAUUAAUCUAGAAUCAACCCUAGGUUAAAUGUUAGGUGUAUUUAAAAGGCCAUAUAAAUAAGGCAGUCAUAGGGGGAAGGACGUUGCACUUCAUUGUUUUCCCAAACGGUAGCUGUGGAUGCAUUAAAGAUAAAGACAGAAUGUAUGAUUAAAUCCUUAUAUUAAACAUGCCGACAGGAUAUGGUUUAGUAAAUACAUGGCAUUCAAUCGUAUUAAGUAGAAAUAUCAAAAAAGAAUAUAUUGUUUAACGGAUUGAAAGGUAACAUUUGAUACAUUUAAAAAUGUGUAAGUCUGUACAGUUGGACUAUUAUUUUUGUGUGACACACCUUUAGCAUUCUUAGUAUUUUUAGGUGCAUUGUGUUCUUAUUGUGUAUAAUAUUAAUAUUUAAAAAACUAAGACAUGAAAUUAUUUUUUUAAAGGUUGCUCAUUACCCUGCCACUCUACUGGGGGAUAUUGUACCACGCGUAGAUGUAGAAAAGGAUACUUUUACAAUCCAGCGGAUGAUGUAAACAAUCAUCCAGAUUGUUCGUAUACACAACAUUGCUGUCAACCGUGUAAGUAUUUUUAAUUCUGAACGUCAGUCUUGGUGUAUAUACUACAUUUUAUUUAGACAAGAAUAUUUCGUGCAUUAGUUAAUCAAGUUUGGUCAACAAAUAUGCGUAACGAAAACAUAAAGUAGCGAUUAUGUGCUUUCAAAACACUAGAAUUGCGAGUUCUAUUAUACCUUCAAAUAUCAAUUACACAUUCAGAACUGUGCUAGUUAAAAGUGGAAAGAUCUCCUUUUGUAUGUAUGAUGAAUAUACAAAAAAUAUUUUGAAGAUUUAAAAACUCGACUAGAUCAUCAGUACAACACAGGAAUCGAGUAGAAGAAAAGGAAAAACAACUGAUUUUUUUCCAUGUAUCUUACGAUCACUAAUUUACAAAUAUAUACACUCAGGAUCAAAUUACUGCUGCCAUCACAAUACAGGUAUUCUUUGUCUUUACAUAAUAAUAUCAGUGAGUAACUUAUAUGCACAGUUUUUACAAGUAAAACAUUCAGUGUAAUUCCUCAUCCUUUUGGGAAAAUUUAGUUCACCUCCGUGUUUUUUCUUUUCAUUUGUGAUCAUUACUGUUGUGCCGACAGAAUUUAAAAUUAAUGAUUACAGGAAUAUAAUACUGCACAUACUACCCUUCUUGAAUAAGAAAUCCCUGCAGAACGUUUUUAGUUCAUCAAAUAGUAUUCAUGUUAUAGGUUCCUGUACAUAGAAAUACAGAUGUAUAAGAAGAAACGCUAAAUAUUAAAAAAGAGAAAUUUGCAGAACAAAACACCAAAAAUUUAUGUAAAUAGAAAUAUGUAAGGGAGAAUAUUAAUUCUACAACAUAUGUAUGAUGCAUACGUUAUAUAUUUAAAUCCGUUUCUUUUUUCAGAUGAUGUCAGAUACUAUGGUGGCCGCUAAGCAAAAUCUGUUAACUAUUAUCGAGAAAUAAAUGGAAAUAAAAGAAAUGUCGGAACGAACUCUUGAUGCCUUUGAAUAACUAUGAAUCCCUGUCCAAUAUUUUUACAAUAUGUUUUAGAAGAUAUCACUCAUAUAUUGUAUGUUCCUUCAUUACUGAUGUAC